CGAAAGCGUGGGGAGCAAGCAGGAUUAGAUCCCUUGGUAGUCCACGCCCUAAACGAUGUCAACUAGCUGUUGGGGCCUACGGGGCUUAGUAGCGCAGCUAUCGCGUGAAGUUGACCGCCUGGGGAGUACGAUCGCAAGAUUAAAACUCAAAGGAAUUGACGGGGACCCGCACAAGCGGUGGAUGAUGUGGAUUAAUUCGAUGCAACGCGAAAAACCUUACCUACCCUUGACAUGUCUGGAAUCCUGAAGAGAUUUAGGAGUGCUCGCAAGAGAACCGGAACACAGGUGCUGCAUCGCUGUCGUCAGCUCGUGUCGUGAGAUGUUGGGUUAAGUCCCGCAACGAGCGCAACCCUUCUCAUUAGUUGCUACAUUUAGUUGAGCACUCUAAUGAGACUGCCGGUGACAAACCGGAGGAAGGUGGGGAUGACGUCAAGUCCUCAUGGCCCUUAUGGGUAGGGCUUCACACGUCAUACAAUGGUCGGGACAGAGGGUUGCCAACCCGCAAGGUGGAGCUAAUCUCAUAAACCCGAUCGUAGUCCGGAUUGCAGGCUGCAACUCGCCUGCAUGAAGUCGGAAUCGCUAGUAAUCGCGGAUCAGCAUGUCGCGGUGAAUAUGUUCGCGGGUCUUGUACACACCGCCCGUCACACCAUGGGAGUGGGUUUUACCAGAAGUAGUUAUCCUCACCGCAAGGGGGG
rnacentral:rRNA from 1 species